rnacentral:tRNA from 1 species
UACAUAUUAGUUUACAGGUAGAACAACUCUUGCAAAGAGUAGACGGUGGGUUCGAUACCGAUCAUAUGUAG